UUGACCUCAGAUCAGGUAGGACUACCCGCUGAACUUAAGCAUAUCAAUAAGCGGAGGAAAAGAAACUAACAAGGAUUCCCCUAGUAACUGCGAGUGAAGCGGGAAAAGCUCAAAUUUAAAAUCUGGCGGUCCUCUGGCCGUCCGAGUUGUAAUCUGGAGAAGUGUUUUCCGCGUCGGACCGUGUACAAGUCUUCUGGAACGGAGCGUCAUAGAGGGUGAGAAUCCCGUCUCUGACACGGACCGCCGACGCUUUAUGUGAUACGCUCUCGAAGAGUCGAGUUGUUUGGGAAUGCAGCUCAAAAUGGGUGGUAAAUUCCAUCUAAAGCUAAAUACUGGCGAGAGACCGAUAGCGAACAAGUACCGUGAGGGAAAGAUGAAAAGCACUUUGGAAAGAGAGUUAAACAGUACGUGAAAUUGUUGAAAGGGAAACGUUUGAAGUCAGUCGCGUCGGCCGGGACUCAGCCUUGCUAUCUUGCUUGGUGCACUUCUCGGUCGACGGGUCAGCAUCAAUUUUGACCGUCGGAUAAAGGCCGAGGGAACGUGGCAUCCUCCGGGGUGUGUUAUAGCCCUUGGUUCGCAUACGGCGAUCGGGAUUGAGGAACUCAGCGCGCCUUCAUUGGUCGGGGCUUCGCGGCUCACGUUAACGCGCUUAGGAUGCUGGCAUAAUGGCUUUAAGCGACCCGUCUUGAAA
rnacentral:rRNA from 1 species